AUUGAACGCUGGCGGCAUGCCUUACACAUGCAAGUCGAACGGUAACAGGUCUUCGGAUGCUGACGAGUGGCGAACGGGUGAGUAAUACAUCAGAACGUGCCUAGUAGUGGGGGAUAACUACUCGAAAGAGUGGCUAAUACCGCAUGAGAUCUACGGAUGAAAGCAGGGGAUCGCAAGACCUUGUGCUACUAGAGCGGCCGAUGGCAGAUUAGGUAGUUGGUGGGAUAAAAGCUUACCAAGCCGACGAUCUGUAGCUGGUCUGAGAGGACGAUCAGCCACACUGGGACUGAGACACGGCCAGACUCCUACGGGAGGCAGCAGUGGGGGAUUUUGGACAAUGGGCGCAAGCCUGAUCCAGCAAUGCCGCGUGCAGGAUGAAGGCCUUCGGGUUGUAAACUGCUUUUGUACGGAACGAAAAGCCCUGGGUUAAUACCCUGGGGUCAUGACGGUACCGUAAGAAUAAGCACCGGCUAACUACGUGCCAGCCGCCGCCGUAA
rnacentral:rRNA from 1 species